rnacentral:tRNA from 1 species
GGACAGGUGGCCGAGUGGUUGAAGGCGCUCGCCUGGAAAGCGGGUAUACGUUCAUAGCGUAUCGAGGGUUCGAAUCCCUCCCUGUCCGCCA